GCCAGGUACAGAGGUGUAUUCCUGUAAUCCCAGUGGCUUGGGAGGCUGAGGCAGGAGGAUCUCUAGUUCAAAACCAGCCUUAGCAAUAUAGGGAGGCCCUAAGCAGGUUAGUGAGAUCCCGUGUCUA
rnacentral:sRNA from 1 species